AACGAACGCUGGCGGCGUGUUUAAGACAUGCAAGUCGCACGGAGUCAUUUGUGUAGCAAUACCCGAAUGGCUUAGUGGCGCACGGGUGAGUAACACGUGAAUUACAUGCCCUGUAGAGGGGGAUAGCCCAGGGAAACUUGGAUUAAUACCCCAUGGUCUCGCAAGAGUAAACGUGGCCGCAAGGCUGUCGCUACAGGAUUGGUUCGCGCCCUAUCAGCUUGUUGGCGGGGUAACGGCCCACCAAGGCUACGACGGGUACCUGGUCUGAGAAGGCGAUCAGGCACACUGGAACUGAGACACGGUCCAGACACCCACGGGUGGGAGCAGUCGAGAAUAAUUCACAAUGGGGGCAACCCUGAUGGUGCAACGCCGCGUGGAGGAGGACGGUCUUCGGAUUGUAAACUCCUGUCAUCCGGGAGUAAGACCUGGGAGUUAAUAGCUCACAGGGUUGAUAGUACCGGAAGAGGUAGGGACGGGUAACUUCGUGCCAGCCGCCGCCGUAAAAC
rnacentral:rRNA from 1 species